AGAAUUCUCCUGCCACCAAAGAGAACCUGAAGUUCAUUUACAAGUUGACGAGCGGGAUACCUACAUGGUGUCCCUUUGCAAGACGCCAGUUAGAAAAUAACCCAAGUUGUAAGUUUCCGGCGCUUUACUUGCCGGUAUCCCUUUCCCACCUUGCCUAAUCUAAUCGCAGUCCUUCUAGUUUUUCUUAGUAAAUGAAACUUGAUUCCUUAGGUCUCUGGCUGUUCAGACUUCAUUUUUUCCAAGCCGCCUGGAUCCCAGGGAGGCGAUUUAAGGGGCUGUGGAAUUAGAAUAAGACAUGCAGGAGAGGUUUAGAAAGUUUGCUCAAAUUCUACACCCUUAAUAAUUGCCACGUUAGCCCGUGAGGACACUGAGGCCAGACAUCAGGCGUUUCUUUAAGAGCGUAUACUUGGUGGGGAAAUAAUUUAUUGGGGCAUGAAUAAACUGUGUUGGAAGCUUUUAAUUGCUGUUUUUUCAACACCCCAAAAAUAACCUCGUCUGUAAAACUGCUAUGGUAAAACCAUAGGUUUUCCUAAUUAUAGGUGUCAUAUUUAACAGUGAAUGUUCUCUGUGUUCCCUCCGUGGAGGUGACCAGGAUCCACCGUUCUUGUCUCCAACUGAAACGGGGCAGUAAACCAAUAGUAUUGGUCGUUUGGCCAAGAUGAUCUUGUCUGGUUCUCAUUGCUAGGACUGCUGAAGAAAUAGGAGCCAUCAAUGUGAUUUUGUCUUUGGGAACCCCACAUGUGAAUGAAUCACCGAAUGAAUGAAUGAAAUUUUAAUCCUUAUAACAAAGAUAAGGCUGGAUCCUAAUAUAUUGCUUUAGGAUGAUUUUCAGGAAGCUCUACAAUUCCAAGCAUUUCCUCUCACAACAAUUUAAUAAAAAUAGUUAGAGUUUAUGGAGAUAUUGUGUUCCCAUAGAUGUUGUAUGAAUUUAACUCUGCAUGUGAGAUAUUUGCUGCACUAAAAGAAAGACUUAUGGAGUCUCACUCUGUCGCCAGGCUGGAGUACAGUGGCAUGAU